GGGACCAAAGUGUGGUCCGUAUCCACUGACCAAGGAAACACUUGGAUCACCGAGCACGUGGAAAUAUCGUCAUCUGAAUCGAUCUAUGUGAUUUUUGAGGGCCUUGUUGACCAGAGCUACAAGCAAGACGGUGUUGCUGUGACCAACAUAUCAGUGUCUGAAACUAGCUGCGCAAAUCAUACUACACUAAGUACGUCUUCGAAACCACCCAUAUCUAUUGGCUAAUUCUUAAUGACUUUCUGAAACUUGUUGCGCAUGUCUUACUGAAGAACGUGUGUUAUAGUUUCCUAUUUAAUUAUAUAUUUAAUUGUAUACAGUGGAUUUUUCUUCUAAUGCGUGCAAAUAAAGGUUAAGGGUCAA